rnacentral:rRNA from 1 species
CGUGUAGGCGGACGUGUAAGUCCGGUGUAAAAGCCCUCGGCUCAACCGGGGAAGGCCACCGGAAACUGCGCGUCUCGAGUGCGGGAGGGGAGAGUGGAACUCUUGGUGGAGCGGUGAAAUGCGUAGAUAUCAAGAGGAACGCCGGUGGCGAAAGCGGCUCUCUGGCCCGUUACUGACGCUGAGGCGCGAAAGCUAGGGGAGCAAACGGGAUUAGAUACCCCGGUAGUCCUAGCCCUAAACGAUGGGUACUAAGUAGGGGCGGCUCCGAUGUCGUCUCUGCUGCAGCCAAUGUGCUAAGUACCCCGCCUGGGGAGUACGGUCGCAAGGCUGAA